rnacentral:rRNA from 1 species
GCGGCGUGCUUAACACAUGCAAGUCGAACGAUGAACCGGUUUCGGCCGGGGAUUAGUGGCGAACGGGUGAGUAACACGUGGGCAAUCUGCCCUGCACUCUGGGACAAGCCCUGGAAACGGGGUCUAAUACCGGAUAUGACUGCCGACCGCAUGGUCUGGUGGUGGAAAGCUCCGGCGGUGCAGGAUGAGCCCGCGGCCUAUCAGCUUGUUGGUGGGGUGAUGGCCUACCAAGGCGACGACGGGUAGCCGGCCUGAGAGGGCGACCGGCCACACUGGGACUGAGACACGGCCCAGACUCCUACGGGAGGCAGCAGUGGGGAAUAUUGCACAAUGGGCGCAAGCCUGAUGCAGCGACGCCGCGUGAGGGAUGACGGCCUUCGGGUUGUAAACCUCUUUCAGCAGGGAAGAAGCGCAAGUGACGGUACCUGCAGAAGAAGCGCCGGCUAACUACGUGCCAGCAGCCGCGGUAAUACGUAGGGCGCAAGCGUUGUCCGGAAUUAUUGGGCGUAAAGAGCUCGUAGGCGGCUUGUCGCGUCGGAUGUGAAAGCCCGGGGCUUAACUCCGGGUCUGCAUUCGAUACGGGCAGGCUAGAGUUCGGUAGGGGAGAUCGGAAUUCCUGGUGUAGCGGUGAAAUGCGCAGAUAUCAGGAGGAACACCGGUGGCGAAGGCGGAUCUCUGGGCCGAUACUGACGCUGAGGAGCGAAAGCGUGGGGAGCGAACAGGAUUAGAUACCCUGGUAGUCCACGCCGUANACGUUG